AGAGUUUGAUCAUGGCUCAGACGAACGCUAGCGGCAGGCUUAACACAUGCAAGUCGAACGCAUCCUUCGGGGUGAGUGGCAGACGGGUGAGUAACGCGUGGGAACGUGCCCUUCAGUUCGGGAUAACCCAGGGAAACUUGGGCUAAUACCGGAUACGUGCGAGAGCAGAAAGAUUUAUCGCUGAAGGAUCGGCCCGCGUCUGAUUAGCUAGUUGGUGAGGUAAUGGCUCACCAAGGCGACGAUCAGUAGCUGGUCUGAGAGGAUGAUCAGCCACAUUGGGACUGAGACACGGCCCAAACUCCUACGGGAGGCAGCAGUGGGGAAUAUUGGACAAUGGGCGCAAGCCUGAUCCAGCCAUGCCGCGUGAGUGAUGAAGGCCUUAGGGUUGUAAAGCUCUUUCGUCCGGGACGAUAAUGACGGUACCGGAAGAAGAAGCCCCGGCUAACUUCGUGCCAGCAGCCGCGGUAAUACGAAGGGGGCUAGCGUUGUUCGGAAUCACUGGGCGUAAAGGGCGCGUAGGCGGCUUUAUAAGUCGGGGGUGAAAGCCUGUGGCUCAACCACAGAAUUGCCUUCGAUACUGUAGAGCUUGAGACCGGAAGAGGUAAGUGGAACUGCGAGUGUAGAGGUGAAAUUCGUAGAUAUUCGCAAGAACACCAGUGGCGAAGGCGGCUUACUGGUCCGGUUCUGACGCUAAGGCGCGAAAGCGUGGGGAGCAAACAGGAUUAGAUACCCUAGUAGUCC
rnacentral:rRNA from 1 species